rnacentral:rRNA from 1 species
GAUGAACGCUGGCGGCGUGCCUAAUACAUGCAAGUCGAGCGAACAGACGAGGAGCUUGCUCCUCUGACGUUAGCGGCGGACGGGUGAGUAACACGUGGAUAACCUACCUAUAAGACUGGGAUAACUUCGGGAAACCGGAGCUAAUACCGGAUAAUAUAUUGAACCGCAUGGUUCAAUAGUGAAAGACGGUUUUGCUGUCACUUAUAGAUGGAUCCGCGCCGCAUUAGCUAGUUGGUAAGGUAACGGCUUACCAAGGCAACGAUGCGUAGCCGACCUGAGAGGGUGAUCGGCCACACUGGAACUGAGAUACGGCCCAGACUCCUACGGGAGGCAGCAGUGGGGAAUAUUGCACAAUGGGCGGAAGCCUGAUGCAGCAACGCCGCGUGCGGGAUGACGGCCUUCGGGUUGUAAACCGCUUUCGCCUGUGACGAAGCGUGAGUGACGGUAACGGGUAAAGAAGCACCGGCUAACUACGUG